GAGAGCUGGCAGGGACGCGGCUGGGGGGCCAGGCCAGGCCUCUGCUCGCCACCCCGGACAAGGCCAGCCGGGGAACGUGCGGGCUGCCCCGGGGAGGCGACUCCGGUCCCCGGCCGCCAACCCCUCUUCCACCGGUUCCCCUCGUGGCCUUGCUUGGGGCGUCCAGGCCUGAUGAACUCUCCUCCCUCCUGGGCCCUCCAGCCGCGCCCUGCGGGAGUUCGGGGAACCGGGAAGCUCGAUCUGAGGCCUUGAAUGCCUGGGCCUUUAAACCUUGAUGUUUACAGGCAUGACAUGCCCACUCCUUUGCUCCCCAUUCUCAUUCCCUUCCAUCCGGUACAGGCCCCGCGGUGCCCAGGAGGAAGACAGCCAUACUGGGGCGACUGGUAGAGUGGGGUAGAGUGGCCGUCAAGACCGGGACCCUGGAGCCGGACAGCCUGGGCUCCUGUCCUGCCUCAGUCACUACUUACCUUUCUCUGCCUCAGUUUCCUGAUCUGAAAGUGGGAUAGAUAAUAGCAGCAUCAGAUGUUGUGUGAAGUGUUUCCUGCUCCAAGAGCACCUAGGAGGCUUGCUCGGCAGGUAAAUGAAGUCGCAUCUCAGAGACUUUACAGACCCUCCCCCCACCCCGCCCACCUCCAUGGAGGGCAGGGAAUCAGCCAUACCCGGGACCCUGUGCCAUCCUCAAGGAGGGGAGAUAGAUCUCUGGCCCCUGCCUCCCGUUGUUGUGCCCUCCUUUGACUACUCCCAUCUGACUAUAGAGUCCUCGGGCUGUCAGGGCACAGAGAGGUCCCUAAUACUUCCUGCAGGGCCUGGGGGCUCAGGAAAUCUUCCUAGAGGAGAUGAUACCUGAGUUAAGUCUCUCUCUCUCUCUUUUUUUUUUUUUUUUUUUUUUUUUUUUUUUUUUUUUUUUUUUUGAGACGGAGUCUCUCUCUGUUGCUCAGGCUGGAGUGCCAUGGCAUGAUCUCAGCUCACUGCAGCUUCCACCUCCCGGGUUCAAGCGAUUCUCCCUCCUAAGCCUCCGGACUAGCUGGGAUUACAGGCACCCACCCACGCCCGGCUAAUUUUUGUAUUUUUUAGUAGAGAGGGGGCUUCACCAUGUUGGCCAGGCUGGUCUUGAACUCCUUACCUCAGGUGAUCCGCCUGCCUUGGCCUCCUCAAGUGCUAGGAUUAUGGGUGUGAGCCACUGCAUGGUUGUGAGUUAAGUCUUAAAGGACGUGUAGGCAGAGGGAAGGGCAGUGGAAAUGCACAGUGCACAGCUGGCAAGGGACAGCACAGCAAAGGCUGGGAGUGGAGGACCCUGCAGCGGAGGCAAACCCGGCUGAAGGAGACUGGCUGAGCGCUGUUGUGGCCGGGGAUGAGGAGCUGUAUUUACCCGCAGGUGGAGGAGACAAGGUCUUUACUGUUCACCCAGGGGCUAGGCCUCUUCCACUGGCUCCCUGAAUCCCCAUGCUGGCCACCAAGGGAAGGAGCUAUUUCUGCAGCUGGACAAAUGAGGAAACAGAGGCACAAAGCAUUCUAGCAUUUGCUCAAGUGGCACAGCAGUAGGAACUCUUUCCCUGGGGGCCGGCCCAGGAGUAUUUUGUCCCAUGGAGAACUGGAACAGCAUCAGGACAGUGAGCCAGCAGGCAGCACUGGCAGGUGUACAUUUAGAAGACUGACUGUUGCCCGGCGUGGUUGCUCACGCCUGUAAUCCCAGCACUUUGGGAGGCUGAGGUGGGCAGAUUACUUGAGGCUGGGAGUUUGAGACCAGCCUGACCAAUAUGGUAAAACUCCGUCUCAACUAAAAAUACAAAAAUUAGCCAGGCGUGGUGGCGGGUGCCUGUAAUCCCAGCUACUCGGGAGGCUGAGGCAGGGAGAAUUGCUUGAACCUGGGAAGCGGAGGUUGCAGUGAGCUGAGAUCGCACCACGGCACUCCAGCCUGGUCAACAGAGCGAGACUCCAUCUUAAAAAAUAAAAAUAAAAAAGUGCCGGGCGCGGUGGCUCACACUUGUAAUCCCAGCACUUUGGGAGGCCGAGGCGAGCAGAUCACUUGAGGUCAGGAGUUCGUGACCAGCUUGGCCAACAUGGUGAAAUCCUGUCUCUACUAAAAAUACCAAAAAUUAGCCGGGCAUAGUGGUGGGCGCCUGUAAUCCCAGCUAUUCAGGAGGCAGAGGCAGGAGAAUUGCUUGAAUCUGGGAGACGGAGGUUACAGUGAGCUGAGAUCGUGCUACUGCACUCCAGCCUGGGCGACAGAGCGAGACCCCAUCUCAAAAAAACAAAAAACAAAAUAGAAAUCUGACUGUGAGUGAAGAAUGGACUGGAAGGACAGUGAUGGAAACAAAGAACUAGUGCUACUGUGGUUAUUACUAUUAAUAGCAUCAGUAGUAACCAGCACUUAUUGAGCACCUGAUGCAUACCAGGUCCUGUAGCUCAUUAACAUGCAUUAUGACAUUUAAUUCUUGUGAGAGCCCCAUAGGGAAAGUCCUGCCAUGGUGUCCCUUUUGCAGAUAAGUGAAGUGAUUUGCGUAAAGCUCCCUACUUUGGCAGGAUGGCCAUACUUUCCAGUUUGCCUAGGACAGCCCAGAUUACACAUACUGUUCCAGUGUAAUUAUUAAUAGCACUUCCUUUCAUUCUCAAAGGUGACCUGGUUAGACAAUCAAUUACACGUCACUCUAGUCAGAGGAUCCCUAGAGCGGCUGGUAAAGGAGGCAGUCUGGUGCAAUGUCAAAGGCCCUGAGCUCAAAUCCUGGCCCAGUGGCUGACCGUGGGCAAAGCACUUGGCCCAUUUGAGCCUCAAGUUUCUCAUCUCUGAAAUGGGUAUAAUAGCAGUGUGGGUAUUUACUAGUUGGGGUGUUGUGAGCCCCAGGCAGAUGACUGAGCAAGCAGUCCUGAUGGAAGUGGUUACAACCUGCCCCAUGCUUGCUCCAUCUUCUUCACCCGCGGGCAGGGAGGGCAGGCAGGAAAGAACAAGAGGUUGAGAACCUCCCUACUAUAUAUGCCACACGCUUUGUCUUCUCCAGCUCAUUGACAGGCAACCUGUGAAUCAGGAAUUCUUGCCCCCUUUUACAUCUGGGUAAGCUGAGGCAGAGAGGAGCCCUCUCCCUCCUUUGCAGCCUGCCUCCAGAUAGAAACCUAUCUCCAUGUAGGCUGUGCCCUUGUUCCUGGCUCCACUCCUGAUUUAAGGAUCUGACUCAGUUUUUCCCUCUGGAAAACGGGAGAAAGGGAGAAGUUUCAAUAUCCCCAAGAAGGAUCCAGGGUUGGGCAGUCUCCCUUUAUCAUGCUUUUCUCCUCCCCCAAUUUCCUGCGGUCCCCUUCCUUCCCUUUGAGAGGCUGUGCCCAGGAGUGCAGGGGUUAACCUUGGCAGGGCUGUAAUCAUCGUGCAGAAUGCAGAACAAAUGCCUCCCAGCUGGGGACGGGGAGCUGCUAGGUGAACCAACCGCCCAGAGCUCAGGAUCCCCUACCUCCCUGUCUUGAAGGAACCAGGCUCCUCAGGCUAUAGUCCCAGGGCUCAGCUGCCCCCUCCACUCAGCCCAGCAGAUUGGGUUGGCCAAGGCAAGGGGCCUAAGGGAAGGAGGCAGGUCCUGGGCAGGGAGCAGUCUAUGGAGCCAGGGAGGAGGGGGCAGGGCAGAGCUACGGAGAAGUAUUUCCUCCUUGGGGACCCAGGAAUGCCAGUGGCUGCUUCCAGGUUCCAGGGAGGUUUGGGAUGGGAGCCUUCAACUGAGGCCACAACUAUCAGCCCCUCCCUAGGGUGCAUGUCCCCUUUGUACCCCAAAGUCUGGCUGGGCUUUUGGUCAGUUAAUGCAUCUGCUCAUUGACCACUGAUUGGUCUUUCCCGUUCUCCAGCUCUUGAGUGUCCACUGGUCCAUCCAUCUGUCGAUGCGAUCGCUAAUUCAUCCAUCUACCCACUGCCCACUCCCCUGUCCAUCCAUCUGCCCUCCCUUCCAUGCACCCAUUUACCCACCUACUUCCUGUCCAUGUCUUGAUCUGCUACUCACAUACAUCCAAUCACUCAACCACUUACUUACCCACCCUUCCAUUGACCCAUUGCCUAUCCCCCAUUCAUCCAUCCAUCCACUUAUGCACCCAUCCAGCCGCCUACACACCCAUGCAUCCUUCCACCCCAUCAUCCAUUUACCUACCUGUACACCCACCCACCCACUCUACCCAGCAUUGUUUGAUCCACUGCCCACACCCGUGGCCAUCUACUCACCCACCUGUCCAUCUACUCCUUCCACUUCCAUCCUGUAAUGCCCUUACACUGACUCACGCCUGGUCUCUGCUGACCAGUAUGGGUGUCUGAGCACGUCCCCAUCUUUCUCACACACAUGCACUUCACUCACCUCAUCAGCAGGUUACCUGGAGGCAAAAUACCCUUGAAGACUGCUUUUUUUUUUUUUUUUUUUUUUUGAGACAGAGUCUUGCUCUGUCACCCAGGUUGGAGUGCAAUGGCGUGAUCUCGGCUCACUGCAACCUCUGCCUCCUGGGUUCAGGCAAUUCUCUUGCCUCAGCCUCCUGAGUAGCUGAGAUUACAGGCAUCCACCACCAUGCCCAGCUAUUUUUUUUUUUUGUAUUUUUAGUAGAGAUGGGAUUUCGCCAUGUGGGCCAGGCUGGUCUCUAACUCCUGACCUCAGGUGAUCCACCCGCCUUGGCCUCCCAAAGUGCUGGGAUUACAGGCGUGAGCCACUGCGCCCGGCUGAAGACUGCUUUGAAAUGUCACCUUCUUCUGGAAGAACUCCUUCAAAAUGAGCCUCCCCACUGCAUCCGGUCCAUCCUCCAUGUUGGUAUCUAUUUCCUGCUGAGAUCGCUGAUGAGAGAGUGAUGUCUGUGCACGCUCUGUGCUCCUGGCACACUGGGAAAUGAAUGAUCAGGACCAACAUAGGAAUUCUUGUUCAUCGUUCCUUGACUGAGCCAAAUGAGAGCAGGUACUCUCCUCCUGGGACCAAUCCAGGGAUACUCACUGGCUAGACCCCUGCAGGGGCUCAGGCACACCUGGGCACUGCAGGGGAAGGGGGCAGCUUUGGACUCUUCAAGAGGUUUGUGCUGUGACCUAGUUCUCCAGAGGUGACCUCACACCUAGGGGAGACUGGCAAUGGGCCAAGGAGGCUGACCCCCAUGCUCUCCCCAGUGUGCAUUCCCAAGUCAGACAACCCUGAGUGCAAAUCAGGACUUUGUCUCUCACUAGCAGAGUGACCUUGGAUAAGUCAGUCCCCAGCAUUGGUCUCAGCUCCAUUAUCUGUAAUAAGCCAUAAAGUUCAUUGCCUGACCUGUAGUUAUGGUCAAGGAAGGGUAGCUGUUAUUAUGACUUUUUUUUUCUUUUUUCUUUCCUUUUCUUUUCUUUUUUUUUUUUUUUUUUUGUUUUCGAGAUCAAGUCUUGCUCUGUCACCCAGGCUGGAGUGAAAUGGCACCAUCUUGGCUCACUGCAACCUGUGCCUCCUGGGUUCAAGCGAUUCUCCUGCCUCAGCCUCCCGAGAAGCUGGGAUUAUAGGAGUCCGCAACCACGCCCAGCUAAUUUUUGUAUUUUUAGUAGAGACGAGGUUUCGCUAUGUUGGCCAGGCUAGUCUUGAAUUCCUGACCUCAGGUGAUCUGCCCGCCUUGGCUCCCAAAAUGCUGGGAUUACAGGUGUGAGCCACUGUGCCCG
rnacentral:lncRNA from 1 species